UUAAAAUCGAACGAAAUUUCAUCAUGCAUCCAAAUACAUAAGGAAGAACAUAGAGAACUAAUUAAAAAAAUAAAGUCAAGAAUAGACUCAGAGAAAGCGAAUCUCCCAAACUAGUCACUGACUGAAAAGGUGGAUUGCGAUUGGACCUCGGAUCAACAAACUCGACGAAAACUUAGUGCGAGACUCUCCGACUCUUGCAAAGAGUCAAAACUGCCUCUAACGUAUUGACUAUAGGUUAAAAAUGCCCUCCGUUAAUCUAUUUUGAAGAAAAUGUCCCUACCAUUAAAAAUGUGGCAUAUUUGAGCCCUUAACUCUAACAACUGACUGUACUUAUAUUUAAAAUGGUAGGGGCAUUUUUUUCAAAAUAGGUUAACGGUAGGGACAUUUUUAAACUGGAAUCAAUACGUUAGGGGCGCAAAUAUGCCAGAAUUUUAACGGUAGGGGCAUUUUUUUCAAAAUAAGUUAACGGAUGACAUUUUUAAACUGGCGUCAAUACGUUAGGGGCAGUUCUGACCCUUUUCCGUUUAUAAAAAUAGUUCUUGUUUUUAGGCUUUCAUGUAAUAGAACACAAAUGAUUAUAAGCUGAACAGAGAAGAAAAAGGGUCCACCGGCGUUAACACAUCACUACCGGAUCUGAAAGUUUCCAACCAAAACUUUGGUGAGCUACAGUGGUACCAAGAAUGGACCGGGAAAGAGAGGGACUGAAGAGUGAGCGGCUGCUUAUUUUCGAUGUGAGGUGGGGUGGGAUUCGAUGUGAGGUGGGGGUGGGAUUUAUUGGUUGUUUGGUGAGAAAGGAUGGUGGUGUUGUCUGUUGAUGGCUGCUCGGCGCUGCUAUGAAGAUUGAGUGGUCGUCUGGUUGUUGCUGUGAAGCCGGCGGUGGCUAUGGAGGCUGGGUGGCAGCUGAAGUUUUUAUGGUCUUUUAGGGUAUUUGUUGAGUCUUGGUGAAGAAGGUGAUAUGGGUUUGAUCUUGAAUGCAAGAAAAUGGAACAUACAUGUUUUUUCGUUCAAAACUUCUAAUUUUUGGUCUCUUCUUUGUGCUGAAAAUGGUUG
rnacentral:lncRNA from 1 species